rnacentral:rRNA from 1 species
AACGAACGCUGGCGGCAUGCCUAACACAUGCAAGUCGAACGAUUGCCUUCGGGUGAUAGUGGCGCACGGGUGCGUAACGCGUGGGAAUCUGCCCUUAGGUUCGGAAUAACAGCUGGAAACGGCUGCUAAUACCGGAUGAUAUCGCGAGAUCAAAGAUUUAUCGCCUGAGGAUGAGCCCGCGUUGGAUUAGGUAGUUGGUGGGGUAAAGGCCUGCCAAGCCGACGAUCCAUAGCUGGUCUGAGAGGAUGAUCAGCCACACUGGGACUGAGACACGGCCCAGACUCCUACGGGAAGCAGCAGUGGGGAAUAUUGGACAAUGGGCGCAAGCCUGAUCCAGCAAUGCCGUGUGAGUGAUGAAGGCCCUAGGGUUGUAAAGCUCUUUUACCCGGGAAGAUAAUGACUGUACCGGGAGAAUAAGCCCCGGCUAACUCCGUG